rnacentral:tRNA from 1 species
AUGUAGUUCAGUGGUAGAACACUUGCUUAGCAUUUAUGAGGUCCUGGAUUUGAUUUCCAGCAU